rnacentral:rRNA from 1 species
CCUACGGGUGGCAGCAGUGGGGAAUCUUGCACAAUGGGGGCAACCCUGAUGCAGCGACGCCGCGUGAGCGAUGAAGCCCUUCGGGGUGUAAAGCUCUUUCGGCAGGAACGCGGUACCUGAAGAAGAAGCUGCGGCUAACUACGUGCCAGCAGCCGCGGUAAUACGUAGGCAGCGAGCGUUGUUCGGAGUUACUGGGCGUAAAGCGUGCGUAGGCGGUUUUGUAAGUUUGGUGUGAAAUCUCCCGGCUCAACUGGGAGGGUGCGCCGAAAACUGCAAGGCUGGAGUAUGGGAGAGGUAGGCGGAAUUCCUGGUGUAGCGGUGAAAUGCGUAGAUAUCAGGAGGAACACCAGUGGUGUAGACGGCUUACUGGACAAUACUGACGCUGAGGCACGAAAGCGUGGGGAGCAAACAGGAUUAGAUACCCUUGUAGUC